AGAGUUUGAUCCUGGCUCAGAUUGAACGCUGGCGGCAGGCCUAACACAUGCAAGUCGAGCGGUAGAGAGAAGCUUGCUUCUCUUGAGAGCGGCGGACGGGUGAGUAAUGCCUAGGAAUCUGCCUGGUAGUGGGGGAUAACGUUCGGAAACGGACGCUAAUACCGCAUACGUCCUACGGGAGAAAGCAGGGGACCUUCGGGCCUUGCGCUAUCAGAUGAGCCUAGGUCGGAUUAGCUAGUUGGUGGGGUAAUGGCUCACCAAGGCGACGAUCCGUAACUGGUCUGAGAGGAUGAUCAGUCACACUGGAACUGAGACACGGUCCAGACUCCUACGGGAGGCAGCAGUGGGGAAUAUUAGACAAUGGGCGAAAGCCUGAUCCAGCCAUGCCGCGUGUGUGAAGAAGGUCUUCGGAUUGUAAAGCACUUUAAGUUGGGAGGAAGGGUUGUAGAUUAAUACUCUGCAAUUUUGACGUUACCGACAGAAUAAGCACCGGCUAACUCUGUGCCAGCAGCCGCGGUAAUACAGAGGGUGCAAGCGUUAAUCGGAAUUACUGGGCGUAAAGCGCGCGUAGGUGGUUAGUUAAGUUGGAUGUGAAAUCCCCGGGCUCAACCUGGGAACUGCAUUCAAAACUGACUAACUAGAGUAUGGUAGAGGGUGGUGGAAUUUCCUGUGUAGCGGUGAAAUGCGUAGAUAUAGGAAGGAACACCAGUGGCGAAGGCGACCACCUGGACUGAUACUGACACUGAGGUGCGAAAGCGUGGGGAGCAAACAGGAUUAGAUACCCUGGUAGUCC
rnacentral:rRNA from 1 species